UACGGGGGGGGCAAGCGUUGUUCGGAAUUACUGGGCGUAAAGGGCGCGUAGGCGGUGAGAUCAAGUCGAAUGUGAAAUACCAGGGCUUAACCCUGGCAGGUCGUUCGAUACUGGUCGGCUAGAGUGUGGAAGGGGAUGCUGGAAUUCCUGGUGUAGCGGUGAAAUGCGUAGAUAUCAGGAGGAACACCGGCGGCGAAGGCGGGCAUCUGGGCCAACACUGACGCUGAGGCGCGAAAGCUAGGGGAGCAAACAGG
rnacentral:rRNA from 1 species